rnacentral:rRNA from 1 species
GACGAACGCUGGCGGCGUGCUUAACACAUGCAAGUCGAACGGAAAGGCCCUGCUUAUGUUGGUUUCUCGAGUGGCGAACGGGUGCGUAACACGUUAGUAACCUGCCCUUGACUUUGUGAUAACUUCAUGAAACUGGGGCUAAUACCCGAUAGGCGCACCUGCUGCAUCGUGGGGAUUGGAAAGUUUCGGAGGUUGGGGCUGGGCUCGCGGCUUAUCCGCUUGUUUGUGUGGUAGUGGCUUACCAAGGCUUUGACGGGUACCCGGCCUGAGAGGGUGACCGGGCACAUUGGGACUGAGAUACGGGACGGACUCCUACGGGAGGCAGCAGUGGGGAAUAUUGCACAAUGGGCGGAAGUCUGAUGCAGCAACGCCGCGUGCGGGAUGACGGACUUCGGGUUGUAAACAGCUUUCGCCGGUGACGAAGAGUGAGUGACGGUAAUGGGUAAAGAAGCACCGGCUAACUACGUG